rnacentral:rRNA from 1 species
UUCCGGUUGAUCCUGCCGGACCUGACUGCUAUCGGAUUGAUACUAAGCCAUGCGAGUCUUUGCAGUAAUGCAAGGCAUACGGCUCAGUAACACGUAGUCAACCUACCCUAUGGACGGGGAUAAUCUCGGGAAACUGAGCAUAAUACCCGGCAGACCACUUAUCCUGGAAUGGUUAGUGGUUAAAAUGAUUCGUCGCCAUAGGAUGGGACUGCGGCCUAUCAGCUUGUUGGUGAGGUAAUGGCCCACCAAGGCGAUUACAGGUACGGGCUCUGAGAGGAGAAGCCCGGAGAUGGGUACUGAGACAAGGACCCAGGCCCUAUGGGGCGCAGCAGGCGAGAAAACUUUGCAAUGUGCGAAAGCACGACAAGGUUAAUCCGAGUGAUUUCUGCUAAAGAAAUCUUUUGCAAGUCAUAAAACCACUAGUGAAUAAGGGGUGGGCAAGUUCUGGUGUCAGCCGCCGCGGUAAAACCAGCACCUCAAGUGGUCAGGAGGAUUAUUGGGCCUAAAGCAUCCGUAGCCGGCUCUGUAAGUUUUCGGUUAAAUCCAUGUGCUCAACAUAUGGGCUGCCGAAAAUACUGCAUAGCUAGGGAGUGGGAGAGGUAGACGGUACUCGGUAGGAAGGGGUAAAAUCCUUUGAUCUAUCGAUGACCACCUGUGGCGAAGGCGGUCUACCAGAACACGUUCGACGGUGAGGGAUGAAAGCUGGGGGAGCAAACCGGAUUAGAUACCCGGGUAGUCCCAGCUGUAAACUAUGCAAACUCAGUGAUGCAUUGACUUGUGGUCAAUGCAGUGCUGCAGGGAAGCCGUUAAGUUUGCCGCCUGGGAAGUACGUACGCAAGUAUGAAACUUAAAGGAAUUGGCGGGGGAGCACCACAAGGGGUGAAGCCUGCGGUUCAAUUGGAUUCAACGCCGG